UGCAAAUCUCCAUUGAAGUAUUUUUAAGCAAUCAAAUUAUAUCAUUGCUUUACCCACACACUUACCAUUUAAACCCAUAUAAACAUUAUAUAAAUACAUAACAUGCUAAAAGCUGAAAGAAACAAUUUUAUUUUGUUCUAAGAACAAAAGGACCCAGAACUCUUUUGUUUCUUCUCUUUAACAAUUCUCACAAACACUCGGUGGGCACCGCAAAAUGCAAAACAUGACAAAAGCUGUAGUAAUAAUUUCAUGGAGGUGUGAGUCGUUGAGAGAAUGUUUGGGAUGCAUGCAUAUAUUUUUUUUUUAUUGACCAGUUUUACGUGCACGUUUUGAUCAAUGUUCCAUACAAUGUUAGUCUUUUUUUUUUAGUUGAUGAUUGUAGUGCAAAUAUUGAAUCAUUUAUACAAGAAAAAACUUAUACGAUCUCGGUAUAAAUGAAUCGAACAUCUUACAAAUUGUUGUUUAUUUAUCCUGAUUUUAUAUAAAAUUAUUAUAUUGGAUGAACAUGUAAAUACACACAUGCGGUAUAGGAGAUUUGAACUGAGUCAUAAAAAAAAAUGGAAACCCAGUAAUAAUUUUCAGUCUUUUUUACCCUCCCCCUCCCCAAGAAAACCUUAUCUUCCAAGCAUGAUCACCCUUUUUCUUUUCUUCAACAUUCUCACGAGCAUUUGGCAGGCACCGGAAAAUAUGAAGGAAAACAUGCCAAAAAGCUUCUUUCUGCACCAUAAUUCAAUGGAUCUGAGGUGGGAUGAGUUGCAGACAAGCUUUCUUUUUUAUUUUUUUGAUUUUUGGGAACUUACACAUGUUGGCUAACACGUUAUAAUAACAACAAUUAUAAUAGUAAUAACAGAAAGACUAUAAUAUUUCACCGAACACAUAU
rnacentral:lncRNA from 1 species